rnacentral:rRNA from 1 species
GAUGAACGCUGGCGGCGUGCCUAAUACAUGCAAGUCGAGCGAACGGACGAGAAGCUUGCUUCUCUGAUGUUAGCGGCGGACGGGUGAGUAACACGUGGAUAACCUACCUAUAAGACUGGGAUAACUUCGGGAAACCGGAGCUAAUACCGGAUAAUAUUUUGAACCGCAUGGUUCAAAAGUGAAAGACGGUCUUGCUGUCACUUAUAGAUGGAUCCGCGCUGCAUUAGCUAGUUGGUAAGGUAACGGCUUACCAAGGCAACGAUGCAUAGCCGACCUGAGAGGGUGAUCGGCCACACUGGAACUGAGACACGGUCCAGACUCCUACGGGAGGCAGCAGUAGGGAAUCUUCCGCAAUGGGCGAAAGCCUGACGGAGCAACGCCGCGUGAGUGAUGAAGGUCUUCGGAUCGUAAAACUCUGUUAUUAGGGAAGAACAUAUGUGUAAGUAACUGUGCACAUCUUGACGGUACCUAAUCAGAAAGCCACGGCUAACUACGUGCCAGCAGCCGCGGUAAUACGUAGGUGGCAAGCGUUAUCCGGAAUUAUUGGGCGUAAAGCGCGCGUAGGCGGUUUUUUAAGUCUGAUGUGAAAGCCCACGGCUCAACCGUGGAGGGUCAUUGGAAACUGGAAAACUUGAGUGCAGAAGAGGAAAGUGGAAUUCCAUGUGUAGCGGUGAAAUGCGCAGAGAUAUGGAGGAACACCAGUGGCGAAGGCGACUUUCUGGUCUGUAACUGACGCUGAUGUGCGAAAGCGUGGGGAUCAAACAGGAUUAGAUACCCUGGUAGUCCACGCCGUAAACGAUGAGUGCUAAGUGUUAGGGGGUUUCCGCCCCUUAGUGCUGCAGCUAACGCAUUAAGCACUCCGCCUGGGGAGUACGACCGCAAGGUUGAAACUCAAAGGAAUUGACGGGGACCCGCACAAGCGGUGGAGCAUGUGGUUUAAUUCGAAGCAACGCGAAGAACCUUACCAAAUCUUGACAUCCUUUGACAACUCUAGAGAUAGAGCCUUCCCCUUCGGGGGACAAAGUGACAGGUGGUGCAUGGUUGUCGUCAGCUCGUGUCGUGAGAUGUUGGGUUAAGUCCCGCAACGAGCGCAACUCUUAAGCUUAGUUGCCAUCAUUAAGUUGGGCACUCUAAGUUGACUGCCGGUGACAAACCGGAGGAAGGUGGGGAUGACGUCAAAUCAUCAUGCCCCUUAUGAUUUGGGCUACACACGUGCUACAAUGGACAAUACAAAGGGCAGCGAAACCGCGAGGUCAAGCAAAUCCCAUAAAGUUGUUCUCAGUUCGGAUUGUAGUCUGCAACUCGACUACAUGAAGCUGGAAUCGCUAGUAAUCGUAGAUCAGCAUGCUACGGUGAAUACGUUCCCGGGUCU